rnacentral:rRNA from 12 species
CGGCUAACUACGUGCCAGCAGCCGCGGUAAUACGUAUGUCGCAAGCGUUAUCCGGAUUUAUUGGGCGUAAAGCGCGUCUAGGCGGUUUGGUAAGUCUGAUGUGAAAAUGCGGGGCUCAACUCCGUAUUGCGUUGGAAACUGCCAAACUAGAGUACUGGAGAGGUGGGCGGAACUACAAGUGUAGAGGUGAAAUUCGUAGAUAUUUGUAGGAAUGCCGAUGGGGAAGCCAGCCCACUGGACAGAUACUGACGCUAAAGCGCGAAAGCGUGGGUAGCAAACAGGAUUAGAUACCCUGGUAGUCCACGCCGUAAACGAUGAUUACUAGGUGUUGGGGGUCGAACCUCAGCGCCCAAGCUAACGCGAUAAGUAAUCCGCCUGGGGAGUACGUACGCAAGUAUGAAACUCAAAGGAAUUGACGGGGGCCCGCACAAGCGGUGGAGCAUGUGGUUUAAUUCGAUGAUACGCGAGGAACCUUACCAGGGCUUAAAUGCAGUUGGACAGGUCUGGAAACAGACCCUUCUUCGGACUAAUUGCAAGGUGCUGCAUGGUUGUCG